ACAAACCCUAAGCUCAACAAACCCUAAGCACUCUCUUCACUUUCUUCUAGUUCUCUCCAAUCUUCAACGUACGGCCCCUCCCCUCCGAUCAGAUGACGCCGGCGACCGCCGCUCACCCUCUUCUAGACGACGCCGGCGACUGUAUUUCCGAUUAGACCAGCCGCGCUCGCCCUCCGUUUUCGUCUCGGUUUAAAGAUCUACCAAACUUGGAAAAGGCAAGAGGAAACUAGGAAAGGUGGCUGUAAAUUGCCAACAACUUGAAGAAAGUGCUAAGACUUUGCAAGAUGUUGAAGAGGUUCCUGAACAUAAAGGAGUUUCACUUUAAUUCAAAGAUUCCUAUUGAACUAAAAGGCGCUUGUUUGGACUGGGGGUAGAAUACUUUCACCUUCCUUCAGGGAUACAAUGGUGUGGAGUACCGAUCUGCUGGAUGUACCGAGGAAUAUAGCGUCAUUGAGAGCUUUCUCUUUGUUAGGGCCGUAAAACUAAGGUUGGCUUGAGGAAACAUAAUUUGCUCCAUCCAAAAAGAACACAAAGGUUGGUGGAAAAGGCUCUUGAAAACAGAAGAAAAACCUGCUCCACACUGAUGCUCGUGAGAAUGGGUCAGACGGUAAGUUCCUAUUUAUUUCACUGAUGCUCUCGAACACCUUAGGAAAUGUAGAUUGAAUAUACAAAAAGGGGAGAACCUCAAUUCUAAAUGAAGUUACAUUAAAACUUUCCAAUUACAUAUUCUCCAUUUCUUCCUUGAAAGGAUGGGCCAAUAAUUGAUAGGAAGACAUCCAUAUUGAGCUUCUCCUUGUUGAAUUCAACAAUCUGAAUUUUCCAACCUUACACUUAAAAAUGGAAAAUAUCCUGCCUUGAAAAUAUUUUAAAUGCCCUUGAAAUAAUUUUAUAAUUUUAGUUUAUGAUGGAAGUAUCAAUAGGUAAAUAGGGCAAAUAUUGUUAGGAAUAGUAGCAAUGACAAUGUGGCGUAUUUGUAAUCACUUACAUGUUGGUUUGUGUUGAAAUUUAUGAAAAGAUGAAGUUGGGUUUGGCUAGGCAGAAUUUUGAAGAUUUGUCCGUUGGAGAGAGAUAGCUCUCUUUAAAUGCUAUACUAAUAUACUUUUUCAGUUUUUCUUUUUUAUUAUCAUACAAUUCCCGUAUUUAAUUCUCUUAUCCCCAGCCCUAAGAUUUGGAUCCUUAGCUUAUGUUUACUUAAAAAUGAAACUGUCAUCCAUGCUAUUCCAUUACCGUUUGACUAUGUUCUUUGUCAAGUUUAACCAAGGGUUUGUGGCUUCAAAGUUCUUUGAAGUAGAACUUUGAUCUUCCAUUGUGUAAUUCUAACCACGUGUUCUAGCAAUAUAACUGAUUUUUCAGCCGCUUUAACCAAGGGUUUGUGGCUUCAAAGUAUGUUGCUUCCAUUUACUUCCCAUUUGCCCAGUCAGCCAAGCAUUUAAGUUGGUUUGAUUGCUUUCUUGAUUGAGUUUUGUAUCAAGUCUGAUUGGUGCUUCACUGUUCAUCAAUUUCUUAUACAUUUUUCUGGUCUCUCAUUAGCCUGAUUUUUGCAGCUUCGUUGUUCAUCAAUUUCUCAUACAAUUGUCUGCUCUCUCAUUAGCUGAAUUUGCAGCAUCAUUGUUCAUCAUUUUCUUCUUUGGUUUUGUCAUAUAUUCUUGAACCUUCCCUUACAUUUAACUUUGAAAUGGAUGGUGUCUUUAUUUUCUGCUAUUGGGUUUGCCCGCAGCAUUUGAUACCAAUAUUGGUUAGAUGUUAGCAGCAGAGUGUGUGUAUAUAUAUAUAUAAUAAAGUGAUGGUAUUAGAGUUGUAUCACUUCAAACUUCAGAAUAAUGUUUAUAACAAAUUUGUCUGUUUACUAAUUGUAAUUCUUUUCAAAUAACAUGAGAUGAUGAAAAAUAUCCUGUAUUAUUAAAGGUUUGGUAGUAUCUAUUUAAUUUACAUCGUCUUAUAAUA